ACCCAUCCAGAAAUAUCCGACAUGCAAAACAGCUUCCCUUUUAUAUGAAGGCAAACAAGAUCAACAUGCAAUCACAUAUCAUCAAGUUUUGGAUUUCGAAGAGUCACAGAAGGAUUUAGUUGCACAGUUGUCUUUCAUCACAGAAUUAAUCUUCUACUUUAGUGAAGUUCAUAGAUAUGUCUGACAGAUACAUGUCUCUUAAGUGUUAACUCAUGCAAACUUUUGUUAUGGUGUAGAAGUUCACUCUUUUAAUGAAACACUGCUUUGAACUAAA